rnacentral:rRNA from 1 species
GAAUUCACUAGUGAUUCAGGCCUAACACAUGCAAGUCGAGCGAUUUACUUCGGUAAAGAGCGGCGGACGGGUGAGUAACGCGUGGGUAACCUGCCCUGUACACACGGAUAACAUACCGAAAGGUAUGCUAAUACGAGAUAAUAUACUUUUAUCGCAUGGUAAAAGUAUCAAAGCUUUUGCGGUACAGGAUGGACCCGCGUCUGAUUAGCUAGUUGGUGAGGUAACGGCUCACCAAGGCGACGAUCAGUAGCCGACCUGAGAGGGUGAUCGGCCACAUUGGAACUGAGACACGGUCCAAACUCCUACGGGAGGCAGCAGUGGGGAAUAUUGCAAAGGGGGCGAAAGCCUGAUGCAGCAACGCCGC